rnacentral:rRNA from 1 species
GACGAACGCUGGCGGCGUGCUUAACACAUGCAAGUCGAACGAAGUGGCGAACGGGAGAGUAACGCGUAAUCCACCUGCCCUUCAGAGGGGGACAACAGUUGGAAACGACUGCUAAUACCGCAUACUGAAGGAGGGGAUUGCGUCUGCUUAGCUAGUUGGAGGGGUAACGGCCCACCAAGGCGAUGACCAGUAGCCGGGGUGAGAGGAUGAACCGGCACAUCGGGACUGAGACACGGCCCAGACUCCUACGGGAGGCAGCAGUGGGGAAUCUUCCGCAAUGGACGAAAGUCUGAAGGAGCAACUCCGCGUGAGUGAUGACGGCCUUCGGGUUGGAAAGCUCUGUUAAUCGGGACGCGGUACCGGAAUAGAAAGCCACGGCUAACUACGUGCCAGCAGCCGCGGUAAUAC